rnacentral:rRNA from 1 species
AUUACCAAUAUCAAUGGAUCUCUAGGCUCUAAUUACGAUGAAAAACGCAGCAAAACGCGAAAUCAGAUAUGAUACGCGAAUUACUAUGAAUCAUCGAG